GGUCCGCUAGUGUAACCGGUAACACGCCUGGUCUUUGACCUGGGGGUUCAGUAGGAAAUCGCCGCUUCGAAUCCAGCGCGGGUCA
rnacentral:tRNA from 1 species